rnacentral:snRNA from 1 species
AUCACCAAUCCGUUUCACGGUCAU